rnacentral:misc_RNA from 1 species
GAUGAAGAACGUAGUGAAAUGCGAUAACUAAUGUGAAUUGCAGAAUUCAGUGAAUCAUCGAAUCUUUGAACGCACAUUGCGCCCCCUGGUAUUCCGGGGGGCAUGCCUGUCCGAGCGUCAUUACAACCCUCAAGCUCAGCUUGGUGUUGGGCCCCGCCGCCCCGGCGGGCCCUAAAGUCAGUGGCGGUGCCGUCCGGCUCCGAGCGUAGUAAUUCUUCUCGCUCUGGAGGUCCGGUCGUGUGCUCGCCAGCAACCCCCAAUUUUUUUCAGGUUGACCUCGGAUCAGGUAGGGAUACCCGCUGAACUUAAGCAUAUCAAUAAGCGGAGGA